rnacentral:rRNA from 1 species
AGGCUUUAUGCCUUGAACGAUUUACCAUAGUAUAUCCAAAGUAUAGAAAUGUCAUCUUGUCUUCUCGAUGGCAUUUUUGAUACUUAAAAGAACGGUCGAGGGCAUUCGUAUUCAACUGCCAGAGGUGAAAUUCUUUGAUUAGUUGAGGACGAACCAUUGCGAAAGCAUCUGCCAAGGACGUUUCUGUUGAUCAAGAACGAAAGUUAGGUGAUCGAAGAUGAUUAGAUACCGUUGUAGUCCUAACUAUAAACUCUACUAUCCAAGAAUUGGAUUGGUGGCUUUACGCCUCUCCAGUACUUUCUGAGAAAUCAAAGUCUUUGAGUUCUGGGGGGAGUAUAGUUGCAAGGCCGAAACUUAAAGGAAUUGACGGAAGGGCACCACCAGGAGUGGAACUUGCGGCUUAAUUUGACUCAACACGGGAAACCUUACGAGGAUAAGACAAACGAAGGAUUGACAGAUUGAUCGCUCUUUCUUGAUUGUUUGGGUGGUGGUGCAUGGCCGUUCUUAGUUCGUGGAUUAAUUUGUCUGGUUAAUUCCGUUAACGAACGAGACUUUAACUUACUAGUUGGCGGGUGUUUUUCGACAUUCUCCUCUAGAAGGACCAUGUGUUUCUAACACAAGGAAGCGUGAAGCAAUAACAGGUCUGUGAUGCCCUUAGAUAUCCUCGGCAGCACGCGUGUUACAAUGAUGCACAGAACAUGUUUCGCCAUUUGAGAGAAUGGUGCAAUCAUCAAAGUGUAUCAACCCAGGGAUUGUUUGUUGUAAUGUCAAGCAUCAACGAGGAAUUCCUAGUAAGCGUGCAUCAUUAAUCCGCGUUGAUUACGUCCCUGCCCUUUGUACACACCGCCUGUCGCAUCUAUUGAUUAGGUUGUAUCAUGAGUUGAGCGGAGAUGAGUAAAAGAUUUAUCUUUUAUUUGUUGAAGCUUUGCAAAUGGUAUUACCCAGAAACAGAUAAAGUCAUAACACGGCAGCUGUAGGUGAACCUGCAGCUG